GACGAACGCUGGCGGCGCGCUUAACACAUGCAAGUCGUACGGAGUUUCUCUUUCGGGGGAGGCUCAGUGGCGAACGGGUGCGUAACACGUGAGCAACCUGCCCAAGUGUGGGGGGAUAACCCGUGGAAACGCGGGCUAAUACCGCAUGACGUUUACUUCUCGAUUGAGGGGUGGACGAAAGGCCCCUGCAAGGGGCUGCGCUUGGAGGGGCUCGCGGCGUAUCAGCUAGUUGGUGAGGUAACGGCNCACCAAGGCGACGACGCGUAGCCGAUCUGAGAGGAUGAUCGGCCACAUUGGGACUGAGAUACGGCCCAGACUCCUACGGGAGGCAGCAGUGGGGAAUCUUGCGCAAUGGGCGAAAGCCUGACGCAGCGACGCCGCGUGCGGGAGGAAGCUCUUC
rnacentral:rRNA from 1 species